GUUUGUACCAGAUAUGCUCAGACAAGCUGUACAGAGAUGGAGGAAAAGCAGGCAGGGCCUGCCAUGUGCCACACUUGCAGUUACCCCGCUCUGAGGGCAGAUGGAUCUGUGGGGUUGGUAAGGAAGAAUGAAAAACGAAAUGCAGGUGGGAAAUGGAGGCACAACUGCCUCCCCGCAAAGGCUAUUUACUGCUAUCAGUGCCUUCUGAAGAGCAACAGCAUCAUUCUGACAAUCACUCUGCUGUAACGCGAUGGAGGGAGUUUCCUAACACAAGCUGGUGUAACCUGCUCCACAAAAGGCCAUUCACUUCAACAAAAGACAGACUUUGGCUCAUUUGCUUCCAAAUGCUACGUCCUGUUGCAUAAGAGUACACAAGAAAUUCCUUUGCCAAAUCUGGCUUGAAUACAUUAUCACCUUUGAAGAAAAGAACCAGGAAAAAAAUUCAAAGAAGAUAACGGCAUUCAUAAGGUACCUCCGCGUGCGCCGCUGGCCUCCCCUGUGUUUGUGAUUGCCCUGUACCAAAGGCCCAUGCGUUGGGGGAUGAAGAACAAAGAAGCAUAAGAGGGUUGAAAUCCUGGUGAAACCUGGUGCCAAAACAGCUGGACAACGCUAGUCCAGCACUGCUCUCUCCAGCCCGGCACUCCUGCAAAGCACACUUCUCUGGCAGGAUUUUCAGUUUUCGCCAGAGGCCUGGGAAGGACGGGGACCCUCACCUCCACCCGACUCCAGCACUCACUGAAGAACGGUAAUCCUGAGCCACUGAAGAUAGACAAGCCCAGAAGAAAGAUGCGGUGCCCAAACACCCCAAGCAACCAGACCUGCCCAGCAUGCACCCGCUCCAAGCAGCUUUGCCUUCAUCUCUCCAUGUGCCCUGUUAUCUUCAGUACCUCCAAGGAAUGAUUAUGUGUGAGGGGUGCAGGGAUCUCUGCUGGGAAGAAGGAUCUGCUCUGUGAACUCUCAGCCUUUUUUCCUCAUUAGAGGUCAUUUUUUUGAUGCCAGGACUGUUGGAUAUACUUUCUUAGGGGUGUAAAUUAGAUCAUUGCACUAAUCUCUUCUCAUCUUAAAACUUUUCACCUCUCUUUGUCAUGCUUAACAGCCCUGGAAAGCUUGCAGGGCCUGUUUUUGAGGUCUUCUGAGCCUCUGCAGCUUCCCUUAAAAACAGAUCUUAGAUCCAUUGAAUUACAAUGGCAUAAAAGGCUUUGGGGCAAAAGAUGGAGUGGAAAAUGUGAUAGCUGUUCUGCUAUUAAAAAAACCAAAAACAAAUAGCAGAGACUGUUCUUUCUACAUAGGGGGUUUGGUGUA